AUGCUGGCCGACCCCCGCAGACCUCGCGGUGAGCGACGCCAACCCUGCCUCCCUCUCCCAGGAGCGGACCAUGAAGAGUCUGGGGGCAGAAGGGAGGGGAGACGAGGAGGGAACGGCCGGGGGCUGCAGGGCACGCUGGGGUCGGCACCGACCGCUGGAGGGAGGCGAGUGGCUGCUUCUGGGGGGACAACAAGCGGCCGUGGAAAGCGGUGCCCGAGGCGGCGGGGGUUCGGUGGGUCGCACUCACCGACGACGCGCAGCACGUUCCGGGAGCGCCAGGUGCGCGGGACAGAGCGCCGGCCCAGCUGCGGAGCCCGCCCCGCCCCGCCCCGAGGACGCGUGCGCGCAGGCCCCGCCCCUCGCCCGGCCCCGCCCCUCGCUCCCCCUCCUCUGUGGUUCCUGCCGAGCCGGCUGCGGCGGCGAGAACCGGAGACCCCGAGCUGCGGCGUCAGCUAUCAAGGUUAUGCAGUUUUUCUUAAAAGAGAUCAUUCUACUAGGAAUCUGACUUCAGACAUCCUCUUGUCCUGGAGUCAAGAGAACGAAUCAAGGAAGGAAAAGGGGCUGAAAGAGAACGAGAAGAGGAAAUGUGAGUGUGGCGAGCGGAAGAAGAAGAGCCAACGGCAGAUAAGCGCACUUCAAGGGAACCAGAAACCCCGAGGAGAGCGCUGGUGUGGCCGCUGGCGCACGCGGCCGUGCAGGGACAGAGAUGAUGGUUAA
rnacentral:lncRNA from 1 species